GGCCGGGUCCGCCGCCGGGGGCGGCGACCGGUCCGGGUCCGGGUCCGGGUCCGGGUCCGGGUCCGGGUCCGGGUCCGGGUCCCGGUUCGGGUCC
rnacentral:tRNA from 1 species